rnacentral:rRNA from 1 species
AUUGAACGCUGGCGGCAGGCCUAACACAUGCAAGUCGAGCGGAUGAGGAAAGCUUGCUUUUCGAUUCAGCGGCGGACGGGUGAGUAAUGCCUAGAAAUCUGCCUGUUAGUGGGGGAUAACUCGGGGAAACUCGGGCUAAUACCGCGUACGUCCUACGGGAGAAAGUGGGGGAUCUUCGGACCUCACGCUAACAGAUGAGCCUAGGUCGGAUUAGCUAGUAGGUGAGGUAAUGGCUCACCUAGGCGACGAUCCGUAACUGGUCUGAGAGGAUGAUCAGUCACACUGGAACUGAGACACGGUCCAGACUCCUACGGGAGGCAGCAGUGGGGAAUAUUGGACAAUGGGCGAAAGCCUGAUCCAGCCAUGCCGCGUGUGUGAAGAAGGUCUUCGGAUUGUAAAGCACUUUAAGUUGGGAGGAAGGGUAUUCACCUAAUACGUGGGUACUUUGACGUUACCAACAGAAUAAGCACCGGCUAACUCUGUGCCAGCCGCCGCGGUAACAC